UACGGAGGGGGCUAGCGUUGUUCGGAAUUACUGGGCGUAAAGCGCACGUAGGCGGAUCUUUAAGUCAGGGGUGAAAUCCCGAGGCUCAACCUCGGAACUGCCUUUGAUACUGGGGAUCUCGAGUCCGGAAGAGGUUGGUGGAACUCCGAGUGUAGAGGUGAAAUUCGUAGAUAUUCGGAAGAACACCAGUGGCGAAGGCGGCCAACUGGUCCGGUACUGACGCUGAGGUGCGAAAGCGUGGGGAGCAAACAGG
rnacentral:rRNA from 1 species